rnacentral:rRNA from 1 species
AUUGAACGCUGGCGGCAUGCUUUACACAUGCAAGUCGAACGGCAGCGCGGGGCAACCUGGCGGCGAGUGGCGAACGGGUGAGUAAUACAUCGGAACGUACCCAGAAGUGGGGGAUAACGUAGCGAAAGUUACGCUAAUACCGCAUACGUUCUACGGAAGAAAGUGGGGGAUCGCAAGACCUCAUGCUUUUGGAGCGGCCGAUGUCUGAUUAGCUAGUUGGUAGGGUAAAGGCCUACCAAGGCGACGAUCAGUAGCUGGUCUGAGAGGACGACCAGCCAAACUGGGACUGAGACACGGCCCAGACUCCGACGGGAGGCAGCAGUGGGGAAUUUUGGACAAUGGGCGCAAGCCUGAUCCAGCAAUGCCGCGUGAGUGAAGAAGGCCUUCGGGUUGUAAAGCUCUUUUGUCAGGGAAGAAACGGCUGGGGCUAAUAUCCUCGGCUAAUGACGGUACCUGAAGAAUAAGCACCGGCUAACUACGUGCCAGCCGCCGCAGUAA